rnacentral:tRNA from 1 species
GGGGAUUUAGCUCAGCGGUAGAGCGCUUGCCUAGCAAGCGAAAGGCCCUGGGUUCGAUCCCCAGCUCCG